CUCAGCCAUUGCACCAGAUACUAGGCAGGAGGAGCCUGUUUGACACACUUGGACUUGACAUCUUGGAAGCAGAUAAGAUUAAUCUUCCUACCCUUUGGCUCAGACUGGUUGUGAUUCAUCAUGUCCAGCUGUAGCCAGACCUCACUUUGCUUCUCCUCUACUUGUGCCCACUAAGACUUGCAACUGCUAGAGAAAGCUUGCUGGGAAGAGAUGAAACCCAGAUGAAGAGAGCAGAGGGAAGGAUGAGUCCAGGUUUUAUCACAAUUGCAGUGAUUUGGUGUUCACACACUGGCUGUAUAAUUGAAAGCUUCCUUCUGAUACUUGCAUCUCUCCUUGUGUUCAGGGACUUCAAAGUGAUUUUCAGAAGAGCAUUUUGUGUCCCCUUGGAGCUGAUCGAAGGCCCGAAGGAUUGAUGCAGCAGAGAGAUUGCUACUGCUAUGGUCCAAGGGAAGCCCCAGGAGCAUGGCUAUAAGGGUAGAUACAAUCACAAAACGUGUCCAGACUCUAUGUCUAGUAGUAGGUGACAUCUGGGCAAAACAAGAUGAUCUGGAGGUUAUUGCAAGAAGACCUGAGAAAAGAAUGGGAAGAGGCAUCUGUAAAUUGCCUGGAUAUAGGGUAGAGUCCCUGCAGCCUGGGAGCAAGAUGAAGACAAGGAAAGAAGGAAUUCCAGCUUUGUCAGGAAUUUUCUCCAGCCCACUAAUUCAUCAACAAAUAUUCUUGAAGUAUACAUAUUCAGGGAACUCUCAAAAGCUUGACUUGGCUCUCUUUUCAUCUCUGCUGUUUCUCUUUCUGAAAAGGGAGGAUUUGUUCCAUUCUCAAUAGAAUAAAUUCAUGAACUACAAUGGAUCAUAUUGUUUUAUUAAAUAGGUGUAGAAAAAUCCCUCAUAACCAUGCACAUAUAUUCCUUUUCUUAGAAGAAAAGAUCUGUACAACUCUCACAACAGAGGAACAGAUGCUGAGGUGUCUCCAAUGAAGUUACUCUAAUACCUGCUGGGA